AUACUACUCCCUCUGUUCCAAAUUACUCGUCGCAGAAAUGGAUGUAUCUAGAACAAAAAUACAUCUAGAUAUAUCCAUACCUGCGACAAAUAAUUUGAAACGGAGGGAGUACUUU
rnacentral:pre_miRNA from 1 species